GACAUGAUCUUACUCUUAAUCUUUCUUAAUGUGCUUGCCUCACUAACAUCUAGCACAACCUCUUUCCGAUGUCCGAGCAUCUUCGCAUCAAAACACCGUACUCUCGAGGCCCUAUGCUCUGAUACCAACUGUAACAGCCCGGAAACCGGUACCCCUCUGUAACGGCUCCAAACUGCUCGGCACUAGGAUCCAGAUCGGCUUAAGGCCGCCGGGACCCGUAGUAAGCCUCAAUACAUCCUGAACUCUAGGUAUAAUCCCGUGCAUGAUCA
rnacentral:lncRNA from 1 species